GGGGAUUUAGCUCAGUGGUAGAGCGCUUCCCUAGGAAGCGCAAGGCCCUGGGUUCGGUCCCCAGCUCCA
rfam:Rattus norvegicus chromosome 2, whole genome shotgun sequence.